GACGAACGCUGGCGGCGUGCUUAACACAUGCAAGUCGAACGAAGAGCGAUGGACGCUUGCUUCUUUCCGUCUUCGUCGCGCACGGGUGAGUAACGCGUAAUCAACCUCUCCUUCAGUGGGGGACAACAGUUGGAAACGACUUCUAAUACCGCAUACUAUCUAAUCUCGGCAUCGAGGAUAGAUGAACGGUGUCCUCUACAUGUAUGCUAUCACUGAAGUCGCAUUUUGCGUCUGAUUAGCUAGCUGGUUGGGUAACGGCCCACCAAGGCGAUGAUCAGUAGGCGGACGGAGAGGAGGAACGGCCAAAUUGGGAAGGGGACAAGGCCCAGGCUCCUAAGGGAAGGAGCAGGGGGGAAUCUUCCGGAAUGGAGGGAAGGCUGAAGGAGCAAAGCCGGGGGAGGGAUGACGGCCGUCGGGUUGGAAAGCUCUGUUAAUCGGGACGAAAGGACUGCUUGCGAAAAGUUAGAAGGAUUGACGGUACCGGAAGAGAAAGCCACGGCUAACUACGUG
rnacentral:rRNA from 1 species